CACAACAGAGUCCGGUUGAACUGAAUGGCGCAUUUUCCAGUUUUCGCUGGCCAAAAUCCAAGCCGCUCGUCCUUCUCCGUUCGCCGCUUCUGCCAUCAGCUGGUAAGCGUCUACGCAACAACGUCUUUGUCGUUCUGGGUUUCCAUCUUGCGCGAGCUCGCCUUCCCGCGCGGGCCAGCAUCGAUUUUUCAAUGCUUCGCGUAACAAAACAAAAACGUGAAUCUCGGUUGAUGAUAGUUCAAGAUGACUCGGCCCUUCGCCCGCAUGCACCGAGUUGGACAUGUUGCCCACAAGCUUUAUAUGAGGAUCGAUGUUUAUUUCACCACAUGCACUUGGAAUGGAUGCGCAGUGCCCGCGGAAAGAACGCAAAUCUCCAGAUCACCUGGUAUCGUGAAUCAAGACUCGUUGUCGUGAAUCAAGACUCGUUGUCUAAUUGUCUCUUACAAUUGCAAUGAGGACAUUUUUGUCAUCGUUAAGUCGUGAAAGUGGGUCCAGUG
rnacentral:lncRNA from 1 species